rnacentral:lncRNA from 1 species
GGGCGCUGACCACAUUUCCGGGAGGUCAGCAAUAUAGAAACAACCGGAGAAAGUACCUGCUUGUCAGAAUAUUCUGUUAAAAUGGGAAGCUGCGGGAUCGCUGGCUUCUUCCCCUCUUCCCUUGGUUCCACCCCAAGACAGCAGCACACGUAAGCUUUCCCCAAGGCCAACCUAGCCGACUUGACGUAUAUUCCUGAGAUCUCUCCUUUCCCUCUGCCGUCCUUGUCUCUACGUUGAUUUGAAAGCCAAAAUGGGUAUCAAAGUGACUAGUAAUAACUCUAAAGUCUGAGGGAAGCGGGAAAUAAUGAAAAAGAGGGAUCUGGUGGACUCCGAUGGGGGCUGAGCCUAGAUCGUCGUUCUAGGGUGAUUUGUCUGACAUGUACUAUCCCAAAGACUUGUUCCUGGCCUUUCUCUUUGGAGUCAAAGGAGGACAGACCAGACCAGGUGGUGGAAAUUUCAACUGAUGACAUUCAGUGCUUCUCAGAUUACAUGGCAUUACGGAUCCCCAAGAGCCACAUCCAAGGCCUGAAGCAGUGGCUGUUCAGAACCCUGCAUGUACCAGGUAAGGGGGCCCCAUUAACUGCCACAACUACCUCUGACAUCAGAG